rnacentral:rRNA from 1 species
GACGAAGGUGGCAAGCGUUGUUCGGAUUCACUGGGCAUAAAGGGCGCGUAGGCGGUUCCGCAAGUGGCAUGUGAAAUCCCCCGGCUCAACCGGGGAAGUGCGUGCCAAACUUCGGUGCUAGAGGGCGGUAGGGGGGACUGGAACUCUCGGUGGAGCGGUGAAAUGCGUAGAUAUCGAGAGGAACACCGGUGGCGAAGGCGAGUCCCUGGUCCGCUUCUGACGCUGAGGCGCGAAAGCGUGGGUAGCAAACAGG